UACAGAGGUCUCAAGCGUUGUUCGGAUUCAUUGGGCGUAAAGGGUGCGUAGGCGGCGCGGUAAGUCGGGUGUGAAAUCUUGGAGCUUAACUCCGAAACUGCAUUCGAUACUGCCGUGCUUGAGGACUGGAGAGGAGACUGGAAUUUACGGUGUAGCGGUGAAAUGCGUAGAUAUCGUAAGGAAGACCAGUGGCGAAGGCGGGUCUCGUGGACAGUUCCUGACGCUGAGGCACGAAGGCCCAGGGGGAGCAAACGGG
rnacentral:rRNA from 1 species